rnacentral:rRNA from 1 species
CAGCAGCCACGGGAAUACGGAGGGUGCAAGCGUUAAUCGGAAUUACUGGGCGUAAAGCGCACGCAGGCGGUCUGUCAAGUCAGAUGUGAAAUCCCCGGGCUUAACCUGGGAACUGCAUUUGAAACUGGCAGGCUAGAGUCUUGUAGAGGGGGGUAGAAUUCCAGGUGUAGCGGUGAAAUGCGUAGAGAUCUGGAGGAAUACCGGUGGCGAAGGCGGCCCCCUGGACAAAGACUGACGCUCAGGUGCGAAAGCGUGGGGAGCAAACAGGAUUAGAUACCCCAGUAGUCCCUGUCUCUUAUAC